AACGCUAGCUACAGGCUUAACACAUGCAAGUCGAGGGGCAGCGCAGUGUAGCAAUACAUGGGCGGCGACCGGCGCACGGGUGCGUAACGCGUAUCCAACCUUCCCGUUACUCAGGGAUAGCCUUCCGAAAGGGAGAUUAAUACCUGAUGGUGUUCAAAUUCCGCAUGUUAUUUGAACUAAAGAUUCAUCGGUAACGGAUGGGGAUGCGUGAUAUUAGAUAGUAGGCGGGGUAACGGCCCACCUAGUCUACGAUGUCUAGGGGUUCUGAGAGGAAGGUCCCCCACACUGGUACUGAGACACGGACCAGACUCCUACGGGAGGCAGCAGUGAGGAAUAUUGGUCAAUGGGCGAGAGCCUGAACCAGCCAAGUCGCGUGAAGGAAGAAGGAUCUAUGGUUCGUAAACUUCUUUUGCAGGGGAAUAAAGUGCAGGACGUGUCCUGUUUUGUAUGUACCCUGAGAAUAAGGAUCGGCUAACUCCGUGCCAGCAGCCGCGGUAAUACGGAGGAUCCGAGCGUUAUCCGGAUUUAUUGGGUUUAAAGGGUGCGUAGGUGGUUUAAUAAGUCAGCGGUGAAAGUUUGCAGCUUAACUGUAAAAAUGCCGUUGAAACUGUUAGACUUGAGUGUAAAUGAGGUAGGCGGAAUGCGUGGUGUAGCGGUGAAAUGCUUAGAUAUCACGAAGAACU
rnacentral:rRNA from 1 species